UGUGUUGGUGGGAAUGCAGUUACUGUGACAUCUGGUCACAUCCUCCAGCUGUUGCAGAGAAGGGUUGGAGUCAAAGGUGUCUGAGUGGAGGGAGGAGCACUGUGGGAUCCUGCUGGGUGUAAGUUUACGGAUGACAGGCAAGCAUGUGAAUCCUGAAUUUAUAUACAGAAAAAUAAAGAAAUCCAAAUUGGUAAUAUAUUGAAGGAGUUAAAAGAAUGACAUAGAUACAAUGUUCCCAGCAUAGAGCCUGAGGCUAACAUCAAAAUCCAGCCGAAGAAGGACCCUAUAUCUGGGAUUGGUAAUAAACAAGCUCUGUGAAUAAAUAUACCUGAUGAAACAGUGAAAUAGUCUGUGUGCCACUAAGAAUGUUCCUCCCCUUGCAGUACAGCAGCUGGAAAAUUAUGACACAACUGCAGUGACACAGUUCCCCCCCAUGGAGCAUUUUUGCAGCAAGACAAGUAAAAAGUCCCCUAUAGGUGUGAAGACCUUUCUACCAAGUGUGUUUUUCUGCAAAGGUACAGCAAGUCAGUCCAAUGCAUCCCUCAUCACCAAAUCACGUGCUUUUGGCAGCCAGUAGCCAGCUACCAGCUGAGUCAAGAUACACCCUCAUCUCCUGCCCGUUGCCUUUGAACAGCAGUUAUGGAUUAAGCCUGACAGUGUGAAAAUAAAUGGGAGAGUGUAGCUGAAGCCAAGCAUUUAUCAAGCCUGGAUGUACUCUAUGCAAGGCAAGUC